rnacentral:rRNA from 1 species
AAAAACAUAGCCUUUAGAGCCUACAAAAUUAAAGGUACCGCCUGCCCAGUGAGGACACAUAAUCCUUUAACGGCCGCGCUUAUAACCGUGCAAAGGUAGCAAAAUCACUUGUCCUCUAAAUAGGGACCAGUAUGAAUGGCAACAUGAGAAAGAAACUGUCUCCUUAGGCCAGCCAGUGAAACUGAUCUGCCCGUACAAAAGCAGGCAUAUAAAAACAAGACAAAAAGACCCUGUGAAACUUUAAAUGUCCCCCACUCACUAUGGCCAAGACAUUUUUGGUUGGGGCAACCAAAGAGAAAUACAAACCUCUAAGCACGCUGCACGGCAAACAGGCCUACCAGCACACUAACUAGACCCAGUCUCACUGAUCGAAGAACCAAGCUACUCCAGGGAUAACAGCGCCACAUUCUUGAAGAGCCCGUAUCAACAAGAAUACCUACGACCUCGAUGUUGGAUCAGGAUAUCCUGGUGGCGCAGAAGCUAUCAAGGGCUCGUUUGUUCAACGAUUAAAAUCCUACGUGAUCUG